rnacentral:rRNA from 1 species
AACGAACGCUGGCGGCGCGCUUUACACAUGCAAGUCGCACGAGAAAGGGCUUCGGCCUGAGUAAAGUGGCGGACGGGUGAGUAAUGCAUGGAUAACCUGCCUUCGAGUGGGGGAUAACCCCGGGAAACCGGGGCUAAUACCGACAAUGACAAGCCGCGGGCUUCGGCCUGCGUCUUCACAGCUGGCCUCUGCCUGCAAGCUGGCGCCCGAAGAGGGGUCCAUGUCGCAUUAGCUAGUUGGUGAGGUAAUGGCUCACCAAGGCGACGAUGGGUAGCCGACCUGAGAGGGUGAUCGGCCACACUGGGACUGAGACACGGCCCAGACUCCUACGGGAGGCAGCAGUGGGGAAUUUUGCGCAAUGGGGGAAACCCUGACGCAGCGACGCCGCGUGGAGGAUGAAGGCCCUUGGGUCGUAAACUCCUGUCAGGUGGGAAGAAAGCUCUCCGGUAAACAGCCGGGGAGGCUGACUGUACCACCGGAGGAGGCCCCGGCUAACUCCGUGCCAGCCGCCGCAGUAAUAC